AACACUGUUAACCUGCGGUACCUGCGGAAGGAUCAUUACCGAGUUUACAACUCCCAAACCCCUGUGAACAUACCUAUACGUUGCCUCGGCGGAUCAGCCCGCGCCCCGUAAAACGGGACGGCCCGCCCGAGGACCCUAAACUCUGUUUUUAGUGGAACUUCUGAGUAAAACAAACAAAUAAAUCAAAACUUUUAACAACGGAUCU
rnacentral:misc_RNA from 1 species